rnacentral:rRNA from 1 species
CCUACGGGAGGCAGCAGCUAAGAAUCUUCCGCAAUGGGCGAAAGCCUGACGGAGCGACGCCGCGUGAACGAAGAAGGCCGUGAGGUUGUAAAGUUCUUUUCGGGAGGGGGAACAACCGUGGCAGGGAAUGGCCGCGGGAUGACGUGAAUCCCGGAAUAAGCCCCGGCUAACUACGUGCCAGCAGCCGCGGUAACACGUAGGGGGCGAGCGUUGUUCGGAAUCAUUGGGCGUAAAGGGCGUGCAGGCGGUCCUGCAAGUCCGGCGUGAAAGACCCCGGCCCAACCGGGGGGGCGCGCUGGAAACUGCAGGGCUUGAGUACAGGAGGGGAUGCCGGAAUUCCAGGUGUAGGGGUGAAAUCUGUAGAUAUCUGGAGGAACACCAAUGGCGAAGGCAGGCAUCUGGCCAUGUACUGACGCUGAGACGCGAAGGUGCGGGGAGCAAACA